UACGAGGGGGGCGAGCGUUGUGCGGAAUUAUUGGGCGGAAAGGGUGCGUAGGCGGUUUGGUAAGUCUUGUGUGAAAUCUACAGGCUCAACUUGUAGUCUGCACGAGAAACUGCCGGGCUUGAGUAUGGGAGAGGUGAGUGGAAUUCCUGGUGUAGCGGUGAAAUGCGUAGAUAUCAGGAGGAACACCUGUGGCGAAAGCGGCUCACUGGACCAUAACUGACGCUGAUGCACGAAAGCUAGGGGAGCAAACAGG
rnacentral:rRNA from 1 species